CUCCAAUUAUAAUAAUGUUAUACAGUCCACUGAAAUUAUAAUUUUGAUUUAUAUGUUUACUCAACUAUCAUUUAAUGUCUAGGGUUGGAGUUGUAACCUGUCAGGCUCCAACUAUGGCCACAACGAAAGUUACUCAUGUAAUGCUAAAUUCCGGCCAACUGAUACCGACAAUAGGCUUCGGUACCGGAGCACUACCUAUGCCACCGCCUGAACAACUAACAUCCAUAUUUAUCGAAGCCAUCGAGGCCGGCUAUCGCCACUUUGACACGGCAGCCUCCUAUGGCACGGAGGAGUGCGUAGGCCGAGCAGUGGCUGCGGCACUGGACCGUGGCCUAAUCAAGAGCCGGAACGAAGUGUUUGUCACUUCUAAAUUGUCAAUAUAUGAUACUCACCAUGAUCUUGUUUUGCCUGCCCUCAAAGAAACGCUCAGGUACUCGUAUUUUCAUUCCUUUUUUCACCAAUGAAUUGAAUCCCAUAAUAAAUAUUAACUUCAGAUAAUAAGAAUCCCUUACAAUAACAGUUAUACAAUAUAGGGUUUGCAAUUACAUUUGAAAGAAUCAGAAAAUUACAGGGAAGAAGUUUGUUACAAUUCAUGCCCCGUGGAGGAACCGGAAGUGGGAUGGACUACAUGGUCCGCGCCUUACUUCCCGAAAACUCCGAUGAGGCAGGAGAAGGGCCGGUCCGUUACCAUCCGCAGAAUUUACGGAUAUGUGGAUCUAUUGCUGCAAUCAAUUCCAAGAAUAAAGGGCGAAUUACCAAAUAGCUUUGAUUCUGAUGCUGUGUAGUUCUUCUGGUAUAAAUUGUUGGGAAAUUAAAAAAAAGAUAUCAUCAAAAUAUGUGGUUAGCCCGGCUUGUAAUCGCAAUUUUAUGUGGAAACCAGAAGGAAUACACAGCAGGGCAGCAGCCUUAUUCCUUAACUAGCUGCAGUAUUUUAUCAUGUAACAAACUGAUAAGGUUGGACUCAAAUUAAAUUUUGUUUCUAAAAAUUUUGUAAACAACUAAUUCUAGAACCAAGAUAACAAAGGGCCAGAACUACGUCUCUUGUAAGCCUAAUAUAGGAUUAUUUAUUUAUUUAUUAUUUAUUUUUUUUAAUGAAGUUUUAAUUGACAUAUGUUGUAGGAAACUGGGGCAUUCAUUUUUUGUUGCCAAAUUGAAAAAUCUCAUUUUCAAUUGAAAAUUUGAACUUCGAAAUGUGAAGACGUUUUGCAGAAAAAAACCAAAGUGCACAAAUAGGUUACACAAAAUAAUCCUAAAGUCGCAAUAUACACAUUUCUAAAUUCUCAAGGUUUCAUAAGAUUCGUAAUUUUAAAUCAAGGAAAUUUUUAAACUUGUCAAGUCUAGAUGUUCUAACAGAAUAUUCAAUGCAACUCAAAGGUAUGUCAACAAAAAAAAUAAAAAAAUAAAAAAAAUAAUAAAAAAAAUUCAACUUCUCAUGCAAUGUAGUCUCACAUAGUGACUAGAUGGUAACUAAAGCACAAAAGCAAUUACCAACUUGCAGCUAAAUUAACACUUUAUAUAGAGCAAAUAAUUCCUAAACUUUUAGCAUAAACAAUGUUACCCACACAGUAACCACAAUCCUAAUGCCAUCCCACAUGAUGACGCGCUAAUGUUGAAAUUUGAAUUGAGAUAAACCAAUAUACUAAAACGGACCAAUCUGAGUCUAUAAAUUACGAGAGAUGCGAAUCUAUCACGUUAGGACCACCACUAUUUGUCCUCAAGCCUCCAGCAAUCGCAUGAAUCAAUCACCACAAUCAAAUUUCGAUCGUGCGAAGAAUAGAGUCAUCCAUAUUACGCUCUAUAACCUGAAACAGUAAACUAACAACACUAAAAUGUCAGAAAUGAUGCUAGGAAUAAACUGCCUGAAGAUACCUCUUCGAGAUUCGGCCCUACGCCCCUCAUGCGCCUUUAACCCUCUUUGCGCGUGGGCUUCACAAGCUGCCACACACGCCAGCAAUCAAUCUCACGACCAGUAACCAUAGUGCGCCUCUACCUGCACGUCACGUCGAUGGUCUCUGUUUCACCAAACGCCUUUUGGAUUUGCCGAAAAUCGUGAAAAUAAUCUCAAUUUUUGGGCAGUUUUGGACAGAUUACGAUCUGAGUUUUUUGCUUCGUUUCUGUCAGUUUCCUGGAUGUUUUUUUUGUAUGUUUCACAAGCCAAAUCCACCACCUUGAAGCUCUGAUACCAAUUGUCACGGAAGCUUGCUCCAAGGAUAAUCAAAACAGUGUUUUGGGGGCUCAGUACAAUGUUACAUUUCUUUACCAAAUAAUCAAUUCAACCGGCUCCAAUCCAUAAUCUAUAUAUUCAUCUCGAUUACUUCUCAAUCUCACCCAAAGAACAAGACAGUGGUCAUGAUUUGUAACCAAGAAAACAUCACAAAGAAGGUAAGGAAGAGACCACAAACACGAAGUUAAUCACUAGUUUUUUGGACACAAAGGCAACCGAUUUCUCUCUUCUAUGGCAGCUAAUUUUUUCUCCUCUUCACAUAUACAAAUCAUCAACAGCUAGGGCAAGAAAGGGGGCUAUAUAUAUAGGCUAGAUUAGGCUUUUAGUUGGACCAAUAACAAGAUUAAAUGAAUCAAGAUUCAAAGUCAUCCAAGAGAUAAUAUGAAUGGGUCGAGUAGAGUCUUUAAACUUGAUUGUUGGUACUUAUUUAAUCAUCAGCCAAGACCUAUGAUAUGUAUAUUCCUAGAUUAAUAUCAUAGUCCAGGAUUUAUUGUGUAUGAAAACCAAACAAUUUUUUAUACUAAAAAUUUCAAAUUCAUAUAACAACUUUACUAGAACGGUUUUCAUGGCUGUAAGUUAUAUAAAAACAUAUUAUUCUCUUCUUCUAGUCAAUUGUUUUUCGAUAAUUUUCAUGUGCGGUCAUUGAACUUAUAGCCAAAUUGCAAUUGGAUCACUAAACUUUAAUUGGCUUAAUUUAGUUCCCUAAACUUCAAUUCAAUUCCAAAUUUCACCAUUUUCAUAUUUAGUCACCUAUAUUCCCCCAAAAAUAACAAAAAUUGCUCAGGGAAAGUCAAAUCAUACAUGAUUUUUCAUGUCAUCGUGAUGUGGCACCCUAGAAUCGAAAAUGGUCUAAGGAAUGUUAUGACAAUUUUUUUUAGAUUAAAAGAGGCAAUUUUAUUUAUUUAUUUAAAAAAAAAAGCAAUUGCAUUGUGAGAAAUUAAAAACUCCAUGCAGCAUGCAGAAAAUCUCGUUGUAACAUUCUAUCGAGAUAACAAUUUCGAUGAAUUUAGGAUCGUUGAUGAGAUUCAAACAUAAUUUGAAAUUGAAUGACCUAAUCGAGUUCCGUGACUCAAUUGAGACUUGGCCGAAAUAUCGGUGUUCGCAUAAGAAAAUGGACCCAUUAUGUUUCUGACACUAAAAAGACAACCACUGUCCUUCCUGUCUUCUAAUGGCCUAAAAAACCAAAUAUGUUGAUGCCAAUUCCAAUCGACACUAACCCUAAAACUAAUCCACUCCAAUUAUAAUAAUGUUAUACAGUCCACUGAAAUUAUAAUUUUGAUUUAUAUGUUUACUCAACUAUCAUUUAAUGUCUAGGGUUGGAGUUGUAACCUGUCAGGCUCCAACUAUGGCCACAACGAAAGUUACUCAUGUAAUGCUAAAUUCCGGCCAACUGAUACCGACAAUAGGCUUCGGUACCGGAGCACUACCUAUGCCACCGCCUGAACAACUAACAUCCAUAUUUAUCGAAGCCAUCGAGGCCGGCUAUCGCCACUUUGACACGGCAGCCUCCUAUGGCACGGAGGAGUGCGUAGGCCGAGCAGUGGCUGCGGCACUGGACCGUGGCCUAAUCAAGA
rnacentral:lncRNA from 1 species